UUCGUCGUCAAGCUUGGUCUCGUUUACAAGAUCGACGGCGGUGUGGAGAAGAGAGCAGGAGGUUGAGACUACAAGCUUGUCUGAAUCAAUGCAGAAAGAUAUAACAGGUCAACGGUUGAAAUUUUUGUUUCUCAGUAAUCCCUUAGUAUAUUGUCGGUGACUCGGUAAAAGGAAGAUGAUUAUGGAAGCACUUAUAUUAUAUACCUUUUCCAACAACACCCUCAAGUGCCUCCAAGGUGCUGAGGGACGCAGCAAAGUCGUUGGCCCAGAUGUUCCUUCCAUCAACAACACCAGCGAAGAGGUACUUUCCCUCGGGGAAACCAGCCUUGACCAAAUCAAGGGUCUUGGUGCCACGAACCAAGUCAAAUCCAAAGGCAGUCACACCCUUCAACGAAGUCAGGGUCUUGUAUGCUUCAGCAGGGAUAUCAGCGAAGUAAGUCUCAACAAGAACAUUCAAACCAGAAAGAGUUGAUUCAAGUUCAGCAUAGGCUCCAGUGAAGGCCUGGAGUUUGUGGCCCUCAAGAUCCAUAACGAGAACAGGCUCGUCGAGCUGAAUCCAGGUGGCACCAGCAGCCUUAAGCUCGGUGAUCACUUCCCUGUAGACAAAUCAAAGUAAUAAUGUCAGUGUUGGAUUACCAAUAACAUCAAGGACAUGGAUUGAAAAGUAAAAGAAAGAAUAAAGUGGUUGCAUACUUGUAGACAGGGAGAAUUUUGGGGAGAAGAGAGAGAAGGUCAAAUGACUUCUCCACACCCUUGGCAGCCUUAGAAAGCAACAAGUAAGAGACUGGGCCAACAAGUACAGGGACGGUGUCAACACCAAGCUGCAUAAACAUCAAGCUUAUCGGAUCAGAACUUUAGAUAGAAACUACUUUUGGUGCACAAAAGACAACCAGCGUCAAACUAAUCUUUAACAACUAUUCUAUCAACCGGUUGUAUUUUGUGAGUAAGCAAGCGAGUAUAUUCUUAACGUAUCAACAUCUUCUGUGAAAACCAUUCAAUAUAUCUAAAUUCAAACACUGAAUCCACGAACCCAAGUCUAUGAUCUCCAAUAAAUAGUUAUUUAUUAGUAAAUGGAUGAUAAUAAUAAAGAAAGAUACUUACAGCCUUGGCCUCCUUGUACUCAUUCACAGCCUUGUGAGAUGCGUAAGAGAACUUAACGUCAGGGCCCAACUCAGGAACAAUGUAAUGGCUGCACCAAUUAAACAUCAUUACAUUUUUCCACAACUAAGAAAAACAAACAACGUCACUGCAAGACUGCAAGAUCAGAGUUGGAGACUCACUAGUUGGUGUCAAACCACUUGGUCAUCUCCAUGGCGGGAACAGAGGCGUUACCUCUAGCCAUGGAGAAGUAAACAUCCAAACCGAUCUCACCACUGGUGUAACCGUAUCUGGGUGGAACAGCACCGAGCAUGGCGGUGGUGUCGAGAACCUGGUCGUAGUGAGCAAAGGUGUUGCUGGGGAUGUACUUGGUCCCAGCCUCAGACAUCUGCUUCCAGAUGUUAGCCCUGAGAUCAGCGGACACCUUCUGAAGAUCCUCAGCAGUGCUCUUUCCAUCCCAGAAUGAUUCCAAUGCGAACUUGAGCUCUCUCUUAGGGCCCAUACGUGGGUAUCCAACAAUGUGUGACGCCAUUUUGAUUUCUUUUUUUUUACUGCAUCAAACACAAACCAAAUCAAGAUCAGUAUCAAAUAGUAAAAUACAUUCUCUCUUUCAUAACUUUGUUAAUAUAAUAAUAAUAAAUAAGUUUCAUACUCCAAGAAAGCUGCAACUACAGUUCACGUGUUAACAAAUUAAAAUAAAAUAAAAUCGAAAAGUAGAGCUAUAGCAGCUUUUGUCGUAUUAAUGAUUGAAUGAGUCCACUUCAAAGUAGAAUCGAAAACUUUUAGAUCAAAAUCACAUGCAACAUUUGAUGAUGAUUCAAAGCGGAUCUAACACAGACCAAUGAUCAUUUUCGAACGAUGAAUAUAGAUCGCAGAUCAGAUCCAGAUCUACAGAUCGACCGACACCAAAAAAAAAAAACUCAGAUCUGCAAAUGAUGAGCUCUCUCACCGUUUAGAUCUCAGUGAUAAACACGCAAUACGAACAAACGGAUCGGGGAGGAAUGAGCUAAUAUAUUUGAAUUUAAAAAAAUCACACUCGGUAAGUAAUAAACAAUAACGUGGAGACGAAAACGAAAUGAGAAGGGGAAGGGAGCUAAAUAAGGGAGACGUGGGGAAGCCAUAAAAUCUCGGAGACGUACCUCACGGAGGAAGAAUCGGAGAAAGAGGUUUGGCUACGAUGAAGAGAGAGCGAGGAAGGAGAGUGGCUCUGUGAGUUUAUUUAUAGAUACAAUCGUUGGGCUCUGUGUGAUGUGUAGAUCUGGUGGUGGAUAUUUUAAGCAAUAAUCAUAUAUUUCAACAUUUUAUUUUAUUUAGUUUUUCUCUCAUUUUCUUUCUUUCUAAUACGGCUAUUUAUGUGUUCUGAUUUUCUGAGAUCAUUUUCUAAUUUUCUUACCAUAAUUAAGAAAAUUAAUUACUUUUAGAUUGUAAAAGUAAAACUAGACCAAAAAAGGAACAUGUAUGGACGGAACUAUGAGCAAUUUUAUUUGUUCUUCAAUGUAUUUUUAGCUAGGUAUGUAUUUUUAUUUUUUAGCCUUAAGCAUUUAAAAUGUUAACAGUUUAUACAUGGAUACUUGGAUUAUUUUUUAAGAACGAACUUUUAGAUGAUAUCUUAACGAAUUGACAGGAAUAUCGUAAUUACAAAUUUGUAAAAUACCGGUAAUGGUAUUAAAUAUUUUCAUUAGUAAAGCUAAAUCAUUUUUACAGCAGUAAAGUCCAAUCAUUUAAUUAAAACGUAUUUAUAAAAGUAUAUUAAAGCGAUUAAAUAGAGGAUUAAAACGUGAAGGGGAGUUGGUGUCUACGUAUAUGAGGGAUUAGUAGUAGUGGGUCCUACGGAGGUUGGUGGAGAUUCACAUUUCACAGUGAAGUUUCUGUUAAAUACGGCUGCGUUUAGUGUCGGCCCGAAGAGUAUCGACAUCGAGGCCUGUUCCGCAGUGUUUUGAAAACCAAGUUGGAGUGGUUAUUGAACCUGAUUAUUUUUGAUGAAUUUGAUUUUUUGCUUCAAUACUUUUUGGAAUGUUAUUAUUAGAUUCAUACAAGUUAAAUUUUCGCUAGUUAACAUGUAACUAUUUCGAUGAUGGUUCAUUUUCCUCUUUAUACAGUGGUCAGUAAAUACUAGUAGUAUUCAUCUUUUUUUUUUUGGAUCAAACUAGUAGUAUUCAUCUAUCACCCACCAAUAAAAGCUUAGGCAACUGAGAUAAACUGGAUCAAAAUAUUUUGGUGGAUGAAUAUAGUAGUAGGUAAUGAAAGGGAGAUUAUGGAUCCAUGAUGUAUAUGUUAUUGUUUUAAGAUUCAUAAACAAAGUGAUGAGUGCUCUUUUACCAAAAAAAAAAAGAAAAAAAAAAAAAAAGAAGUGAUGAGUGGUCUUCAUCUUGUUGUUUGCUUUGAUAAUUCGGCCACCAAACAUUGAUUCUAUUAACGUCAUCGCUUCCCUUGAUUACAUGGUAAUUAUCCUUCUCGUCUUAUUUUACUGAAUUUUUGGGUGUAUUUUGAAUAUUAGUGAUAUUCACAAGACUCAACAGUCCAUAUCACAUACUGCUAAUAGAUUACGAAUAUAAUAUUUAUGCACAGUGAGAUAAGUAUGUUAUAUCUUAUACCAGUCGUUAAUCCUCAGUUUUAUUACGCAACUCAAAGUCUAACCUAUAGAAUAGCACAUACACUAGUUGAUUAUUAAUUAUAAAGCUCUUUUGCGUGACUUGUAAGAUUAUUCUAAGUUCAACAACUAGUUUGGAACUGUGUAGGUCUAUUUUAAGAGAUGACGUUGUUGCAAACUCAGAAAACAGUCAACAAAGUGCUGCUUUUCCUUACGGACGCCAACAAAAUGCUUAUUAAAGACUGUUUGACACAAUAUGGAUACUAAAUUAUAGGCUAACUAUAUAGUUUGUAUUAGUUUUAUUACUAGCAAUUGUCAAUCGCACGGCAUAAGUUUAACAGCAGUUACAUGUGACUUUACAAGAAGAUUUGCAUAUGCAUCCUUAAAGUUGUUUUGUCGGUGGAUUUAGAUCUACCAUCAUAAUAACAGCAAAAGUCGUACGAGCAUUUAAUGAAAAUUCUCCUUUUCUUUUUUCAUUUUCAUUUUAUUGUUCUGCAACCUAAACAAGUAAUACCAUAAUCAAGCUCAAACGAAAAAAAAAGAAGAAGAAGAUCUGUAAUAUACUUUAUGAAAUUAUUGAACUAAUUCGUAUGCGAAUUGUGAAAAUUAUACGACUUAUGAUAUAUGGUGUACGCAUCCCUUUUUUUUUGCCAUCUUGAGUUUGGUAGAUCGUUUAGUAAACGAAUCACAAGAUCCAAAAACAUCCUUAUUGCUGGCUUAUUAAACUUUGUGAUUAAACUAUGAUAAAGGAAUGCUUUUAGGCAUGUGACAUAUUACAUGAUUACAUAUGCAUUAUGAUUUGAAUUGAAAUAUGAUAAUUUAAAUAAUUUAUAAAUCUUUUGUAAUGUAUACAUGCUAAUUUAAAGAACACAAAGACUAAGAAAUUAUUCAUCUAAUCUCAAUCACAAGGCUCCAUGUUAAAAGUGAGUAAAACAUGAAAAUGAAAGCCAACCACUUUUUAGGUAGAGUCCAUUCUUAUAGAUUACACAAUGCUAACCCUAUAGCUAGAGUUGAAAAGAACAACGAUGUAGAGCAACUCUACCUUUUAGACAAUGUUCAAAGAAGAAUCCAAACAUCAAUAAUUUCUGGAAUAAAAUUUAGGAGACUAACUUCUUAGCCUUGUAUUCUCUGCGAACUCUCCUGAGCUCUACAGUCUGGGGGAAGGAUCCAAUGGUGGUGGUUGGCAGGAUUGGGAGGUUAAGCUUCUUCUGCUGAGCAUCUAACCUAGCGCUAACAUUAGUUGCACGACGGUGGUCUGAGCCCUUCAAAGCAGCAGCCUGAGAUAACAAAUCAGAAACCAUCUCGAUCAAUAAAUGCUAAGGAGAAAUCAGUGACUGUGGAGAUGGCUGAGGUUUGCGCCAAACUUACAGCCUUCUGGACACCCUCGUUGGUGACUCUUGGGGAAGACCUCCUUGAAGCCAAAGCAGCAGCGUUGGCGGAGAAAAGGGCCUGAAAGGGAAUACAAUAUUAGCAUUCUAGUGUUUACUAAAUCAUUUACAUUGCAAAACUAUUCAAGGAUUUAAUAAAGUAGGUGGAUAAAAUUUCUACCUCAUCCUUCUGACCAGCCAAAGCCUUGGCCAGUGCGUUCACUUCAACGAUCUUCUGGGCAGCAAACGCCAACCAUGACUUGAUUUCGUCGUCAAGCUUGGUCUCGUUUACAAGAUCGACAGCGGUGUGGAGAAGAGAGCAGGAGGUUGAGACCACAAGCUUGUCUGAAUCAAUGCAGAAAGAUAACAGAUCAACGUUUGAAAUAUUUGUUUAGUAUAUUUUCGGGUGACUCAGGUAAAAGGCAGGCGAUUCUGGAAGCACUUAUUUACCUUUUCCAACAACACCCUCAAGUGCCUCCAAGGUGCUGAGAGACGCAGCAAAGUCAUUGGCCCAGAUGUUCCUUCCAUCAACAACACCAGCGAAGAGGUACUUUCCCUCGGGGAAACCAGCCUUGACUAAAUCAAGGGUCUUUGUGCCACGAACCAAGUCAAAUCCAAAGGCAGUCACACCCUUCAACGAAGUUAGGGUCUUGUAUGCUUCAGCAGGGAUAUCAGCGAAGUAGGUCUCAACAAGAACAUUCAAACCAGACAGAGUUGAUUCAAGUUCAGCAUAAGCCCCAGUGAGGGCCUGGAGUUUGUGGCCCUCAAGAUCCAUGACAAGGACAGGCUCGUCAAGCUGAAUCCAGGUGGCACCAGCUGCCUUAAGCUCUGUGAUCACUUCCCUGUACACAAAUCAAAGUCAUAAUAUCAGUGACAUGUUAGACGAUCAUUCAUAACUAAAAUAAAAAGGAAGUGAUUUCUUACUUGUAGACAGGGAGAAUUUUGGGGAGAAGAGAAAGAAGGUCAAAAGACUUCUCUACACCCUUGGCAGCCUUAGAAAGCAACAAGUAAGAGACAGGGCCAACAAGUACGGGGACGGUGUCAACACCAAGCUGCAUAACAUAAAGUUUUAUAGGAUCAGAACUUCAGAAUAGCAAUCUAGCAGAUGAAAGAAAGAAACCUACUUUAAGUGUACAAACGACAAUUAGCAGAAGAACAAGAAACUACUUUAGGUGUCAAAACACAACCAGAGUCAAAUUAAUUUAUAUCAGCUAUUCUAUCAAGUAACUGGUGUUUAUGAAUGUGCAAGUGAGUAUAUUCUUAAUUCAUCACUUGUCUAUGUGAUUAUGUGAAACAGCGUUCAGUGAAUCUAAGCUCAAACAGUAAAUCCUGGAACCAAAGCCUAUUAUCUCUAAUAGAUUAGUCCUAAAGCAGACUGUAAAAUUCAUAAGAAAUUGAAAAUAGCGAAGAAUAAUACGUACAGCCUUGGCCUCCUUGUACUCAUUCACAGCCUUGUGCGAUGCGUACGAAAAGUUAACCUCAGGGCCCAACUCAGGGACGAUGUAAUGGCUGCAUCAACAAAACAUCAUUACAUUAGUCCAAUAUUCAAAAAAAAAAGCCCAACUAACAAUGUCGCUGCAAGGGAGACGAGACUCACUAGUUGGUGUCAAACCACUUGGUCAUCUCCAUGGCGGGAACAGAGGCAUUUCCUCUAGCCAUGGAGAAGUAAACAUCCAACCCAAUCUCACCACCGGUGUAACCGUAUCUGGGUGGAACAGCACCGAGCAUGGCGGUGGUGUCAAGAACCUGAUCGUAGUGAGCAAAGGUGUUGCUUGGGAUGUACUUGGUCCCAGCCUCAGACAUCUGCUUCCAGAUACCCGACCUGAUAUCAGCAGACACCUUCUGAAGAUCCUCAGCAGUGCUCUUCUUAUCCCAGAAUGACUCCAACGCGAACUUGAGCUCUCUCUUGGGGCCCAUACGUGGAUAUCCAACAAUGUGCGACGCCAUUUUUGAUUUUCUUUAACUGCAACAAACAAAACAAACAAGAUCAAUAUCUCAUAUUUAAAUAAAAGAUUUAUUAAUAUAUAUAAUAAUAAGGCUAAGUUACUGACUCCAAGAAAGCAGCCAACAACAGUUCACGUGUACGCAAAAAAAAAAAAUAUCGAAAAGUGUAGCAGCUUUUUGUCGUAUUAUAUGAUUGAGAUAAACGAGACGAGUCCACUUCAGAGUGGAAUUUGAAAAGUUUUAGAUCAGAUCACAUGCAACAUUUUAUCACUAGGAGAUGAUCUAAAGCGGAUCUAACACACACGAGCUCAUAACGACGACCAUUUUCAAUAGAUCGCAAAUCAGAUCGAGAACCAGAUCUACGAAUCGAAUAACACUAGAAACUCAGAUCUGUGACUGAUGAAGUCUCUCACCGUUUAGAUAUACACUACGAACAAACAGAUCGCGGAGAAAUAGAACCAAAUAUGAUAUUCAAAUCUAAUCACAGUCGAGAGAGUAGUAAUAACAAUAACAACAACGUGGAGACGAAGAACGAAAUGAAUAACGAAGGGGGAAGCUAGCUAAAUAAGGGAGAACGUAGGGAAGGUAGAGAAACUCGGAGACGUACCUCACGGAGGAAGAAUCGGAGAAGAGAAGAAGAAAGGGUUGGCUACGAAGAAGAGAAGGCGAGGAAGGAGAGUGGGCUUGCGAGUUUAUUUAUAGCAAAAACAAAUAAUGAUAGAUCGUUGGGCUCUCUGCAUUAUUGUCUAGAUCUGGUGGUUGAUAUUUUCGGCAUUUAUCAUUUAUUUUUCAUUUUAUUUUCUUUUUACGGCUAUUUAUUUGCAUUUAUUUUCCUACAAUAUAUUUUCUUACCAAAAGUGUGGAAAAUUAAUAAGUAUGAAUAAAGCUAGUAAAUACGAUUCUAUCAGUACUACAACAUACCUAUCACCUUUUCAUUUUAUUUUCCCACAAUAUGUUUUGAUUUCAGAAAAAAAACAGUCACUAAUUUUCUUUAUUUGUCUCCCUCACCACAUAUUAUUUAUAAUUAAAUCAUAUAUAUACUCGAAUACUAAAUAAAAUAAAUUCAUAUAAAACUUAGUUAAAAAAAUUAUUAGUAAUUUAUGUUCUUCAAUGUAUUUUAGUUGCGUAUGUAUUUUGGCUUGAAAUUUAAAAAUAUGAACAAAGUAAUAUAUGGUUCACUAAAACGGAUCUUUAGAUAAUAUCUUAACUAAUUAACAGAAAUAUCUUAGCUUCAAAUUUGUAUUAGUAGUUUGGAUUAGUAAAGAUCAAUCUAUUUAUUUUUACUGUAGUAAAUCCUAAUCAUCUAGUUAGUCGUAUUAAGAAAUUAAAUAGAGAAUUAAAACGUGAAGGGGAGUUGGUGGUGUGCGUGGAGCGAUUAGUAGGUGGCAUGGGACCCACGGAGGUUGGUGGGGAUUCACAUUUCACAGUGAAGUUUCUGCUAAAUACGACGGCGUUUAGCAUUCAGCACGAAGAGUAUCGACAUUGAGCGCUGCUCGUGCUCGGCAGCGUUUUGGAAACCAUGUGGAGGUUGAAGCUGACUAUUUUUGAUAAAAUAAAAAAUAAAUUCCCAUAAUUUGACUACUAAAAAUACAUUUUAGGUUAGUAAAUACAAUAGUCAUAAUCAUGAUAUUUAUGUUUUUAUAGAACUGGCCGAGAAAAAUAUUAUGGUUGGUGACUAUAGUUGGUGGAGAAGGAUUGUGGCCCCACAAUAUAUAUGUAAUUGUUUAAGAUUCAUAAGCAAAGUGAUGAGUGGUCUUGAUGUUGUUGUUUGCUGAUGAUUUGGCCACCGUAUAUUGAUUCUUAACUUAUAUUAUCUUCAUCGCUUCCCUUAAUUACAUCUUACUUUUUCCUUCUAAUCCUAUUUUGAAUUUUCUUUAUGUUUUUAUGAAGUUAAAUCUUGAAUAUUAAUGAUAAGCAAAAAAAUUUUGACGCUUGCAAAAUAAACUUUGUAUAGACAUCUUAAGAACCUCACUGUUUCUCAAGCUUGCGUUAGGACAUUCGAAGGACUAAAAGUCUAUAUCACAUACUAGUAGUCUAAGAAAUCUAUGCAUAGUGGGAUCGAUAUGGUUUUUCUCAUACCAAUCAUUGAUCCUUAAUUUUAUCAUGUAGUUCAAUGUUUAUAGAAGUCUAACCAUAGUACAUACACUACUUUAUUAAUGUAUAAGCUCUUGUAGAGGGAGUCGUGAGUAUGGUCCAAGUUCAAGAACUAGGUUGGACUUUUUGAGUACCAUUCUCUUGUAUCGGAAACUGUGUAGGUGUGUAUUUCGAGUUUAAAAAAUAAUAAAAUGUAGAAGAUGGUGAUGCUGCUCCAAACCGACAAUUCAGGGCCUGACUGGUUCAACCGCAGCGGUUGCGGUUGCGGGAGUUUGCGGAUGCGGGUGGUUGCGGUUUCUAGCGGUUUUAAGAGAUUCGUACGACUGGUUAUGCGGUUAGAAAUUGGUAAACUCCGAAAACACAAGGCAAAGAUCAAUCUCUAGAUGCCCUGGGAUAUCUAUUCGAAAAAGUUUCCAUACUUGGAGAAGAACCAAUCUUUAUUUCCUUUCAAUACACCUUUUUUAGCUUCCAUACUUGGAGAAGAACCAAUCUUUAUUUCCUUUAAAUACCCCUUAGAAAAAAAGAUAUGUUUCAUAAGAGAAAUGAAGGAUACAAAACGAGAAACACAAAACAAAUCCAAAAGAUACAUAUCUCUCAACUCUCUCAGCAAGAGGGGAAACCAUAUGCAUCAAACCUAACUUCAACUAGAUAUUUUUAGAAAGGUAAUUAAACAAAACAAAAACACAACCAUUAUAGAGAAAAAGAACUCAAGUAUCCUUCUUCAAAUCAUUCAUCUCUUUUCAAGCUUUUCUUCACUUGGCACUGGCGAGCUGGGAGCGGAUGAGUUUAGCCGCAUCAACCAUGUUCUUCAGGGCAGGCUUGACCUCUGUGUACUUACGGGUCUUGAGACCACAGUCAGGGUUAACCCAAAGGAUGUUCUGCUCAAGAACAGCAAGCAUCUUGUUCACUCUCUCUGCGAUUUCCUCAGUUGAUGGUAUUCUUGGAGAGUGGAUGUCGUAGACACCUGGACCAAUUCCAGCACCGUACUUCACUCCUUCACGGAACACAGAGAGAAGCUUCUCAUCAGAUCGGGAGUUCUCGAUGGUGAUGACAUCAGCAUCCAUGUCGAUGAUGGAGUGUAUGAUGUCAUUGAAGUGAGAGUAGCACAUGUGAGUGUGGAUCUGCAUAAUAACACCACCAUAAGAAAACGGAAAAAACACUUCACUCUAGUAUAUACGAGCGAUAUGUGUUUGAAGGAAGCAAACCUGGGUGGUGUCUUGGACUCCACAGUUGGUGAUUCUGAAGGAGUGAACAGCCCAGUCCAAGUAGAAAGCAUGCUCGGAUUUCCUGAGUGGUAAUCCUUCUCUGAGUGCAGCCUCAUCGAUCUGAAUGACAUUAAUACCACCUUUCUCAAGAUCCUCGACUUCGUCCUUGAUGGCCAGAGCGAUCUGGUAACAGGUCUCGUGCCUACAAAGUUUUUCAGAUAUAUACGUUUUAGUCAUUUUGUUGUAAGCUGUGUUUGUUUCAGACUUGAGAGUUUUUAUUUUGUGUACCUGGGCUGGUCAUUUCUGACAAAGGACCAGUUAAGAAUGGUGACAGGGCCGGUAAGCAUUCCCUUCAUUGGGCGAGAGGUCAUGCUCUGAGCCAUUGCGGACCAGAAGACGGUCAUUGCCUUGGGACGGCUCACAUCACCGUAGAUAACUGGUGGCUUCACACAACGAGAUCCAUAAGAUUGGACCCAUCCAUUUGCGGUGAAGGCAAAACCAGACAACUGCUCCCCGAAGUACUCAACCAUGUCGUUUCUCUACAAAAUUGUUGAAACGUGUCUCGUCAGAAACAUUAAAACGGACUACCAUCAAUAACUUUGAAUUGUCAGUACUCUACUUCGAGGGUUCAAGCAAUAACAUAUAACAUUAAAAAGAAAACACUCACCUCUGGCUCUCCGUGAACGAGAACAUCAAUGUCAAGUUCCUCUUGGAGGUCAACAACUUUCUUGAUCUCUUCCUUCAUGGCCUUAACAUAGUCCUCCUCGGAAACCCUAUCAAAGAGAUUCACCGUUAGUAUCAUACCGUUUAAGGAGAUACCAGGAAUAAAAUUUAGGAGACUAACUUCUUAGCCUUGUAUUCUCUGCGAACUCUCCUGAGCUCUACAGUCUGGGGGAAGGACCCAAUGGUGGUGGUUGGCAGGAUUGGGAGGUUAAGCUUCUUCUGCUGAGCAUCUAACCUAGCGCUAACAUUAGUUGCACGACGGUGGUCUGAGCCCUUCAAAGCAGCAGCCUGAGAUAACAAAUCAGAAACCAUCUCGAUCAAUAAAUGCUAAGGAGAAAUCAGUGACUGUGGAGAUGGCUGAGGUUUGCGCCAAACUUACAGCCUUCUGGACACCCUCGUUGGUGACUCUUGGGGAAGACCUCCUUGAAGCCAAAGCAGCAGCGUUGGCGGAGAAAAGGGCCUGAAAGGGAAUACAAUAUUAGCAUUCUAGUGUUUACUAAAUCAUUUACAUUGCAAAACUAUUCAAGGAUUUAAUAAAGUAGGUGGAUAAAAUUUCUACCUCAUCCUUCUGACCAGCCAAAGCCUUGGCCAGUGCGUUCACUUCAACGAUCUUCUGGGCAGCAAACGCCAACCAUGACUUGAUUUCGUCGUCAAGCUUGGUCUCGUUUACAAGAUCGACGGCGGUGUGGAGAAGAGAGCAGGAGGUUGAGACUACAAGCUUGUCUGAAUCAAUGCAGAAAGAUAUAACAGGUCAACGGUUGAAAUUUUUGUUUCUCAGUAAUCCCUUAGUAUAUUGUCGGUGACUCGGUAAAAGGAAGAUGAUUAUGGAAGCACUUAUAUUAUAUACCUUUUCCAACAACACCCUCAAGUGCCUCCAAGGUGCUGAGGGACGCAGCAAAGUCGUUGGCCCAGAUGUUCCUUCCAUCAACAACACCAGCGAAGAGGUACUUUCCCUCGGGGAAACCAGCCUUGACCAAAUCAAGGGUCUUGGUGCCACGAACCAAGUCAAAUCCAAAGGCAGUCACACCCUUCAACGAAGUCAGGGUCUUGUAUGCUUCAGCAGGGAUAUCAGCGAAGUAAGUCUCAACAAGAACAUUCAAACCAGAAAGAGUUGAUUCAAGUUCAGCAUAGGCUCCAGUGAAGGCCUGGAGUUUGUGGCCCUCAAGAUCCAUAACGAGAACAGGCUCGUCGAGCUGAAUCCAGGUGGCACCAGCAGCCUUAAGCUCGGUGAUCACUUCCCUGUAGACAAAUCAAAGUAAUAAUGUCAGUGUUGGAUUACCAAUAACAUCAAGGACAUGGAUUGAAAAGUAAAAGAAAGAAU
rnacentral:lncRNA from 1 species